AUUGAACGCUGGCGGCAGGCCUAACACAUGCAAGUCGAACGAGUGGCGGACGGGUGAGUAAUGUCUGGGAAACUGCCUGAUGGAGGGGGAUAACCACUGGAAACGGUAGCUAAUACCGCAUACCAUCGGAUGUGCCCAGCUGGGAUUAGCUGGGAGGGGGGGUAACGGCUCACGUAGGCGACGAUCCCUAGCUGGUCUGAAGGGAUGACGAGCAAAACUGGAAUGGAGACACGGUCCAGAUUCCUACGGGAGGCAGCAGGGGGGAAUAUUGCACAAUGGGCGAAAGCCGGAUGCAGCCAUGCCGCGUGUAUGAAGAAGGCCUUCGGGUUGUAAAGUACUUUCAGCGGGGAGGCGUUACCCGCAGAAGAAGCACCGGCUAACUCCGUGCCAGCCGCCGCGGUAAUUC
rnacentral:rRNA from 1 species